UACGGGGGGGCAAGCGUUGUUCGGAAUUACUGGGCGUAAAGGGCUCGUAGGUGGCCAACUAAGUCAGACGUGAAAUCCCUCGGCUUAACCGGGGAACUGCGUCUGAUACUGGAUGGCUUGAGUUCGGGAGAGGGAUGCGGAAUUCCAGGUGUAGCGGUGAAAUGCGUAGAUAUCUGGAGGAACACCGGUGGCGAAGGCGGCAUCCUGGACCAUGACUGACGCUGAGGAGCGAAAGCCAGGGGAGCAAACGGG
rnacentral:rRNA from 1 species